rnacentral:rRNA from 1 species
UACGAAGGGUGCAAGCGUUACUCGGAAUUACUGGGCGUAAAGCGUGCGUAGGUGGUGAGUUAAGUCUGUCGUGAAAGCCCCGGGCUCAACCUGGGAAUGGCGAUGGAUACUGGCUCGCUAGAGUGCGGUAGAGGAGAGUGGAAUUCCCGGUGUAGCAGUGAAAUGCGUAGAUAUCUGGAGGAACACCGGUGGCGAAGGCGGCGUUCUGGACUGCAACUGACACUGAGAAACGAAAGCCAGGGUAGCAAACGGG